AGACUGGAGACACUUCAAAGAAAACCAGCGUGUUCCAUGAAGGCAUCAAUGACUUCAUGAUUUGCUGUGGCUGAAAGUGUUCAUCUGUGCUAAACAGGUCCAGUGUCCCCCCAUCGCUUUUCUCCCAGGGUGGCACGAGGUACAGGAUGAAAGCAAUUCUCCGGCCUUCCAGCUCAUCAUCAUGGCACAGCAGUACAUCUGUGCUCUCAUACUUGGCGCAGGAGAUGUCGAUGGAGGGCUCCAGCUCAAUGUGGGUGACAGCCUCUAGCCAUGCUCGCAGGGUCCCGCUCAGCGCCCGCCUCAGCGCACUGACAUGGGGCUCCGGCCGGGCCCCCAGCUCCUCGGACUGUCGCAGGGACAGCAAGUCGUUCCGCCGCUCUCGGAAGCCCAGGCACAGCAGCUCAUCGCCCAACGCCGCCGCGAAGGCCGGGCUGGCCAGGAGGCCGCGCAGCACGCCGUGCCGGAACGGGGCCUGCUCCACCGCCACGGCCUCGUGUCGGAGCGGCUCCCCGCCGGCCCAAGCCGCCGCCGCCCGCUCCCGUAGCGCCGUGUCGCCGAGGGCGGCACAGAGCUCGGCGGCAAUCUCCCGCCGCCCGCGCUUCUCCCCGCUACGGCCGCCCGUCGCGCCGCGCCGCUUGGCUCCCAUGCUGUCGCUCCCCGCUGGAC
rnacentral:lncRNA from 1 species